rnacentral:rRNA from 1 species
CCUACGGGAGGCAGCAGUGGGGAAUAUUGCGCAAUGGGCGAAAGCCUGACGCAGCGACGCCGCGUGAGGGAUGACGGCCUUCGGGUUGUAAACCUCUUUCAGCAGGGAAGAAGCGAAAGUGACGGUACCUGCAGAAGAAGCACCGGCUAACUACGUGCCAGCAGCCGCGGUAAUACGUAGGGUGCAAGCGUUGUCCGGAUUUAUUGGGCGUAAAGAGCUCGUAGGCGGUUUGUCACGUCGGAUGUGAAAGCUCGGGGCUCAACCCCGAGUCUGCAUUCGAUACGGGCUAACUAGAGUGUGGUAGGGGAGACUGGAACUCCUGGUGUAGCGGUGAAAUGCGCAGAUAUCAGGAAGAACACCGAUGGCGAAGGCAGGUCUCUGGGCCACUACUGACGCUGAGGAGCGAAAGCGUGGGGAGCAAACAGGAUUAGAUACCCGAGUAGUCC